rnacentral:rRNA from 1 species
UACGUAGGGGGCAAGCGUUGUCCGGAUUUAUUGGGCGUAAAGAGCGUGUAGGCGGUUUGGUAGGUCCGUUGUGAAAACUCGAGGCUCAACCUCGAGACGCCGAUGGAAACCAUCAGACUAGAGUCCGGAAGAGGAGAGUGGAAUUCCUGGUGUAGCGGUGAAAUGCGCAGAUAUCAGGAAGAACACCCGUGGCUAAGGCGGCUCUCUAGUACGGUACUGACGCUGAGGAGCGAAAGUGUGGGGGAGCGAACAGG